CAGCCGCCACGGUAAUACGUAGGUGGCAAGCGUCGUCCGGAAUUAUUGGGCGUAAAGGGCUCGCAGGCGGUUUCUUAAGUCUGAUGUGAAAGCCCCCGGCUCAACCGGGGAGGGUCAUUGGAAACUGGGAAACUUGAGUGCAGAAGAGGAGAGUGGAAUUCCACGUGUAGCGGUGAAAUGCGUAGAGAUGUGGAGGAACACCAGUGGCGAAGGCGACUCUCUGGUCUGUAACUGACGCUGAGGAGCGAAAGCGUGGGGAGCGAACAGGAUUAGAUACCCGAGUAGUCCCUGUCUCUUAUAC
rnacentral:rRNA from 1 species